UACGGAGGGUGCGAGCGUUGUCCGGAAUCAUUGGGCGUAAAGGGCGCGUAGGCGGCGUGACAAGUCACUUGUGAAAUCUCCGGGCUUAACUCGGAACGGUCAAGUGAUACUGUCGUGCUAGAGUACAGAAGGGGCAACUGGAAUUCUCGGUGUAGCGGUGAAAUGCGUAGAUAUCGAGAGGAACACCUGCGGCGAAGGCGGGUUGCUGGGCUGAUACUGACGCUGAGGCGCGAAAGCUAGGGGAGCGAACGGG
rnacentral:rRNA from 1 species